CCUACGGGUGGCACCAGUGGGGAAUAUCGGACAAUGGGCGAAAGCCUGAUCCAGCAAUGCCGCGUGUGUGAAGAAGGUCUUCGGAUUGUAAAGCACUUUCGACGGGGACGAUGAUGACGGUACCCGUAGAAGAAGCCCCGGCUAACUUCGUGCCAGCAGCCGCGGUAAUACGAAGGGGGCUAGCGUUGCUCGGAGUGACUGGGCGUAAAGGGCGCGUAGGCGGUUUAUGCAGUCAGAUGUGAAAUUCCUGGGCUUAACCUGGGACCUGCAUUUGAUACGUAUAGGCUAGAGUGUGAGAGAGGAUUGUGGAAUUCCAAGUGUAGAGGUGAAAUUCGUAGAUAUUUGGAGGAACACCGGUGGCGAAGGCGGCAAUCUGGCUCACAACUGACGCUGAGGCGCGGAAGCGUGGGGGGCAAACAGGAUUAGAUACCCGAGUAGUC
rnacentral:rRNA from 1 species